UACGUAGGGUGCAAGCGUUAAUCGGAAUUACUGGGCGUAAAGCGUGCGCAGGCGGCUCCUUAAGUCAGAUGUGAAAGCCCCGGGCUUAACCUGGGAACUGCGUUUGAAACUGGGGAGCUAGAGUGUAGAAGAGGGGGGUGGAAUUCCAGGUGUAGCAGUGAAAUGCGUAGAUAUCUGGAGGAACACCGAUGGCGAAGGCAGCCCCCUGGGCUAACACUGACGCUCAUGCACGAAAGCGUGGGGAGCAAACAGG
rnacentral:rRNA from 1 species